CCUUUUCUUUUCAUUCUUGCGCUGUUGAAUUUUAAGGACAAAUUGUACUUCACAUUUCUUGCGUUGCUUAAAUCAGGUGGUGCUUCUGGGGUAGGAAUGCAUUCUGUGAGGAGCCUGCUGGAUCUCAGGGCUUCUCCUUCAAUCUCCUCUCCUCCCCUUUUCCUCCCAACCUUCCUCUUUGCCACUGCUCUUCUUAUCCUGCUACCCGCCCCCCACCCCCAGCCCCACUUUCUACCUCUUCCUCUGUAUUUCCGUUUCCACUCUUGGCAAAUAGCCUGGUCAGAGGGGAUGACAGAUAUGAGGCUGGCCUUGGCCUGCACCAGCAAGCUGCACUCUCUGGGCUUUGGUCCUUCCUCCUAUCUCUUCUGCCUCCAGGGCCGGAGACUGAGUUGCCCCAUUCUCCCAGGCUUAGCCAGCCUUAGGAAUGAAGUUUGUUGCUGCUGGCCCUGCCCUUGGCCCGGCCCAUGGCCCCUCCUGUGGUCCUGCCCCUGCUCAUUGACUUGCUUUGGAAGCAAGGCUGCAGUAGCCUAGACUCUGAGAAUGAAGUAAGGUCUGGUUCAGAUGUCCUACCCACAGGAUCUCACAGCAGGAGCAGGGCAGGGGAAUACUAAUCGGAAAAGGAAGUGAAAGGACACAGAAGAAAUUAGGUAAUUAUAGCGAGAAUAAAUCAAACAGUGUCAGGAUAGGGGAAGUGGGUCAGGGAACCUGUGCUGAGCAAACAGUGCAGGUGAAACCCUCCCAGGACUACGGAGUCUGUGUUUGUCCUUUGCUGCAUACAGUUGCAACUGUCCCACAGUUUCUGGCCCGGAAUUGACCACUGUUCAAAGGAACUGUGAAGUUGACAUGAUCUCAGAUCUUAGCUUCAUGUUGCUCUAGAUUUCUUGGCAAUCUGAGGGCCUUGUAAAACAAAAGGAGCCUCCACAUCUGGAGGGGAGGCAACCAUUCUUAGUCCCUCACUGCCCUGCAGGUUUGGUUUUUAUAUCGUAAGUGGAUAUUCCAGUUUUUACCUAUAAACACGCUUGUAUUCUGGGUCUGCUGGCUUUUAAAUGUUGACAACCAAAUAAAAACACAAGAAUGUGAGCAUUACCAAAUAAGUCUGUUGGGGGGGAAGUGUGCAUAAACAUGUCCAGGGCCACAGGUUAUGGCUUGGUUUAAUGUGUGAGGCUUGAGUUACUGACCAUCCUCCAUGAUCUAUUUUUCUCCCUUCUGGGUCUAGCCUCACUCCUAGGCUGGGAUUGCUAUUCCCCUUGAUAGGAGCUAAACGAAGAAAUUGAGGAGGACCUUGGAAGAGACUCUGAAUUCAACAAAUGACCCCCGAUACCUACUGUGUGCAUGAAAAUGUACAAGGGUUUCUGUUCUGUAGAUACUUCUGGUCAGCCUCAGAGUGAUGGAGGGGUCUCUGCAAAUGUUCCCACCAUUAGACUGAAAUACUAUGUUAUAGGCCUCUCAGGAUCCAAUGGCAAGUGAAUGUCAUAGAUGACCUUGUUACAGAAACUCCAAGGAAGGAGGGAGACCUCUCUUUGGGCUUCACAGGCUGAAGGAUUUCCAUGAACCAAAGGAGCAGGCAUAGAUUCCAGGAUAGAGAGGAUAAAGAGGAGGGAGUUCAGAGUGAGGGGUGUGGGGAGCUCCUCUUUGAGAAGAUGCUCCAAGGUAAGGGACUUGCAGAGGCAUACACAGGAAGUAACAGCAAGGAAAGAUAGGACCUCAGGUCUUGCUGUGUGUAACCGUUCACUGGUCACUUUAUUAGUUGACUCUUGAACCUUUGAUGUCCAGGGAUGAGAAUAGUUAUGACAAAGUCACUCCACACCACUUCAGGGUUCUCAUGUAUGCUAGUUAGAGGUGGCACCAACUUAAAAAAAACAAAACAAAACAUGUUUUAAGGUAAAAGCAGUUGCUAUUGGAACCCAGAUGGUGGCUGUAUUGCCCCUGGGUAUAAGUCUGCCCACUACCAGUUAUACAUUGUAAGGAGACACGAGGACUGCCUUGGACCAAAAGAAUAGCCCAGGGUCAAAGUAUAGCAAGGGGGUAUAGCAGAGUAUGGAAGGGAGCGAGCAGGCAACUUCUUCCCAGCAUGCAUCAGGAGCCCUCACGGCUCUGGAGAGCUGUGGAUUUUUAGACCUGAUCUUAUUAACUACAAAGCCCAGUGCUCAGCAGAAAUUUCUCACUCAAAACCCUCAAAUUUAAAACAGAUGAAAACGGUGCUUCCGUCUCCCCACCAGGCCUCCUUCCAGGGUUCUGUGUUUAGCCCUGGGGCUUGGGAAUCCAAUAUUGCAUCAGUUGUACUCUUAAAGGAUGAGAAACAUGGAGAAUGUGGGAAGACAAUGUUCUAGGCCAGGGCUCUCCAUAUCCCAGAGAGACUCCCCAGGCAAGUUCCCCACAGUGGGGAGAGGGAUGGAGGCAGCCGGUCUGUGUGACUCUGCUUACUUCACUUCCUCAAGUCCUUUCUGGUAUAUGGCUCAUCAUAUGCAUUGUAUAUUAAUUAGCUCAGUGGAAAAUAAUCACAACUAAAUUGCAUUCUGUUAUACAAUAAAUCGAACAGCAGCAUAAUUUAGGG
rnacentral:lncRNA from 1 species